GGCCGCUUGGCCCAAUGGUAAGGCGUCUGACUACGAUCGAACAUGUGCAAAUGUAUUCGAUGAGUUAUCAGGAGAUUCUGGGUUCGAGCCCCAGGGUGGUCA